UACAUGGGGUGCAAACGUUGCUCGGAAUUAUUGGGCGUAAAGCGCGCGUAGGCGGUUACUCAAGUCGGAUGUGAAAGCCCUCGGCUUAACUGAGGAAGUGCACCCGAAACUGAGUAGCUAGAGUACUAAAGAGGGUCGCGGAAUUCCCGGUGUAGAGGUGAAAUUCGUAGAUAUCAGGAGGAACACCGAUGGCGAAGGCAGGUCUCUGGGCUGACACUGACGCUCAUGCACGAAAGCGUGGGGAGCAAACAGG
rnacentral:rRNA from 1 species